rnacentral:rRNA from 1 species
CCGCACGGUGAGUAACACGUAUGCAAUCCACCUGUAACAGGGGGAUAACCCGGAGAAAUCCGGACUAAUACCCCAUAAUAUGGGCGCUCCGCAUGGAGAGCCCAUUAAAGAGAGCAAUUUUGGUUACAGACGAGCAUGCGCUCCAUUAGCCAGUUGGCGGGGUAACGGCCCACCAAAGCGACGAUGGAUAGGGGUUCUGAGAGGAAGGUCCCCCACAUUGGAACUGAGACACGGUCCAA